rnacentral:tRNA from 1 species
GAAAGAUGGCCGAGUGGCCGAAGGCGCCUGAUUCGAAAUCAGGUAUACCGCAAGGUAUCGUGAGUUCGAAUCUCACUCUUUCC